CCAAAAUGCUUCUUAAUAGUUGUGGGACUUGUGAACCAUUUGUAACAUCAUAGUCCAGUAGCCUAGUUUAUGAUAUCGUCCCAUCUAGACACAAAGAUAUUGUUGAUGUAGAAUUUAUCUUGGAGUUUCAUGUUUGCUAAACAAAAUGCCUAUCAAUUGUCAGUCAAAAUGGAUUUAAUUGUAAGUUUUUAAUUUCUUGAAGUCACACUAUUUCAGGGGAGGCUUCCUAGUGGACAGGACAUAGCUGUAAAGAGACUGUCUAGAGAUUCUGGACAAGAAGAAGUACAGUUUAAAAAUGAAGUCUUCUUGUUGGCCGAGCUUCAACAUAGGAACUUGGUUAGACUUUGGGGUACCUGUUUGAGAGGAAAUGAAAGGCUUCUCAUCUAUGAGCUUCUGCUUAAUUCAAGUCUAGAUAACUUCAUAUUUGAUCUGAUAAAGCGUCUAUUAUUGGAUUGGAGACGCAAUACAAAAUCUUAGGGAGCAUAGCACAAGGACUACAUUACCUUCAUGGACAUUCUACGUUCCGGGUUGUUCAUCGCAAUAUGAAAGCCAAUAAUAUUUUUCUAGAUGCUGACAUGGUUCAAAAAAUUUUAGAUUUUGGAAUGGUGAAAUUGUUCAAAAUGGGUCAAACUCAAAGGGAUACAAGUAGAGUUUUUGGGACCUUGUAAGUGUAUUUAAAAAUUAAAAUUUAGACCUUGGUAAAUAAAAUUAAUCUAAUCCAUCUAUGGCCAUUUUUAAGUGGAUA